CGAUUACGGCUCAGUAACACGUAGCUAACCUACCCUUAGGACGUGGAUACCCCCGAGAAAUUGGGGUUAAUCCGCGAUAGAUGUAAUGUCCUGGAAUGGUAUUACGUCUAAAGGUAUUUCAUACAUGUUUGAAAUAUGCCUAAGGACGGGGCUGCGGCCGAUCAGGCUGUUGGUGAGGUAAUGGCUCACCAAACCUUUGACCGGUACGGGCCAUGAGAGUGGUAGCCCGGAGAUGGACACUGAGACAAGGGUCCAGGCCCUAAGGGGCGCAGCAACCGGGAAACCUCCACAAUGACCUCACGUGCGAUGGGGCUAUCUCGAGUGCCACCUGAUGAACGUGGCUUUUCCUUGGUCUUCAAAGCCUUGGGAAUAAGAGGGGGGCAAGACUGGUGUCAGCCGCCGCGGUAACACCAGCCCCUCGAGUGGUGGGGAUGAUUAUUUGGCCUAAAGCGUCCGUAGCC
rnacentral:rRNA from 1 species